CCAGCAUGGCGGACCCCGCAGAGGUGGGACGCUCCGGAGGCGCCCACAGGAGGCCGCAAGGCGGUGCUGUGGCCCCGCAUCGUCGCCCGCCCCGUGGUUUGCGGUGGGCCGCUACGGAAGGUGCGAACGCGCCGUGAGGGUGUCCUGGCUCCCCGUGGUGGGCCGCGGUGGAACGUUCUGGAAGGUGCCAUUGUGUGCCUGUGUGGAGUGUGUCCUUCCCCCCCCCCCCGUAACAGCUUCCGGUGCGUCACGUCCGGCUCUCUCCCCGCCCACCCGUGUGUGUGUCCCAAAUCUAAACCCUUAGGAGGGCUGUGGGAGGGCUCGCGGCUCUCGCCCUUGACUCUGGACCGCUCUGCCUAAAGCUGCUCGGCCCCGAGGCGGGCGCGGGCUGCAUCUUCCGUGGGCGUGGGCUGAGGCUCUGCAUAAACUCCAGUGGCAGCCCCAGAACUGAACCCCAUCGGGGGCCGGGGGCAUCCCGUCCUGGAGUCAGCCCGGGUUGGCACCGGGCGCGCAGGUGGCGGGCUUCGCCGGGCUGGACGCACAGGUAGGGUGGGGACAGUGAUGGGCACCGGGGCGGGGGGAUCGCGGGCGGGCUGUGACUGCAGCAGGCGCCGGAAAGGAAGCGAUACCCAAUGACAGGUGCAGGCACCCUGUCAUCUGUCGGCGUGUACUGAUUUUGCCUCCCCAAACGUCUUAUUUUGUGCCGUGGAAUGGGCGACUCAGCCAGGUCCCAAGCCUCAACUUUAUUUUAGCCUGCCAGCGGUUUUUCUCCAACCGGUACUUUUCAGGCAUGAAACAGGCUCUUUGCAGCAUUGAUGUUUUGAACCCUUGAAAUGCAAAAU
rnacentral:lncRNA from 1 species